rnacentral:rRNA from 1 species
GACGAACGCUGGCGGCGUGCCUAAUACAUGCAAGUAGAACGCUGAAGGAGGAGCUUGCUUCUCCGGAUGAGUUGCGAACGGGUGAGUAACGCGUAGGUAACCUGCCUGGUAGCGGGGGAUAACUAUUGGAAACGAUAGCUAAUACCGCAUAACAGUAGAUGUUGCAUGACAUUUGCUUAAAAGGUGCAAUUGCAUCACUACCAGAUGGACCUGCGUUGUAUUAGCUAGUUGGUGAGGUAACGGCUCACCAAGGCGACGAUACAUAGCCGACCUGAGAGGGUGAUCGGCCACACUGGGACUGAGACACGGCCCAGACUCCUACGGGAGGCAGCAGUAGGGAAUCUUCGGCAAUGGACGGAAGUCUGACCGAGCAACGCCGCGUGAGUGAAGAAGGUUUUCGGAUCGUAAAGCUCUGUUGUAAGAGAAGAACGAGUGCGAGAGUGGAAAGUUCACACUGUGACGGUAGCUGACCAGAAAGGGACGGCUAACUACGUG